UACGUAGGUGGCAAGCGUUGUCCGGAAUUACUGGGCGUAAAGGGCGUGUAGGCGGGGCGGCAAGUCAGAUGUGAAAUCCCAUGGCUUAACUGUGGAGCUGCAUCUGAAACUGUCGUUCUUGAGUGUCGGAGAGGAAAGUGGAAUUCCCAGUGUAGCGGUGAAAUGUGUAGAGAUUGGGAGGAACACCAGCGGCGAAGGCGGCUUUCUGGACGAUAACUGACGCUGAGGCGCGAAAGCGUGGGGAGCAAACAGG
rnacentral:rRNA from 1 species